rnacentral:lncRNA from 1 species
GGGCCGAGUCACCCUCAGGGGAGAGGAAGUCAGGAGGCAGCAUGAUUAGGGGAGGAAGCCAAGACAAGCUUCCGGGGACUCCAAGGACAAGAGCUCCUCAAUGACAGAGUAAAAGAGGAAAUCAGCAGCCAAGGAAGGCUCCGGCAAGCAGGGACUACACACAGACAGGCUUUAAACGUGUCUCUGCUCAUCAGCUGCUCUCUGUCUCUCUCCUCUUUCUUCUCUCUUCUGUCCACACACACACACACACAGGCACACAUGCAUUCGUGCACGAUCAGGCCAAGAUGGAGCCCCCUGUGUGGGACGACAGAGAAGAUCAAGAAGCAAAUGAGCCCUGCACGGCGGC